AGAAUUCUGUGGCCCAGACAAUGCCUGAUGUUCUACUGGUGAUUUCCAUAAAAGGGUCGUUUGCCCCACCCCCAAGGGGUCUCAACCCACAGGCUGAGAACCACUGAUCCAGUGUUUUGUCUAUGAAAAAGUACACAAAAGCAAAGAAGGUGAAUCUUCAUUGUUAAAUAUUCAUGAACAGCAGUGCAAGAAUUUCUCCCAGCAAGAUUUUGCGGAAAGGACCUGAUAUAGCUGUCUCUUGUGAGGCUAUGCCAGUGACUGGCAAAUACAGAAGUGGAUAAUCACAGUCAUCUAUAGGAUGGAACACAGGGUGCCCAGUGGAUGAGCAAGAGAAAGUACCCAAAGCUGAAGGGGUCUGUAACCCUAUAGGAGGAACAACAAUAUGAACUAACCAG
rnacentral:lncRNA from 1 species